rnacentral:lncRNA from 10 species
CUCAUAGUCACACUUACGUGUGUACUUUUUGCUAUUAGGAAGAAAUGAAUAAAAAACCUACUUAUAUUUGUUCUUAAACUUGGCAAUACAGUUUAGAAUCUUUUUUUUAAAAAACAAUUUAAGAAGGACAAUAUAGAUAGCAUCAGUAGAUUAACUGAAAAGAACCUUGAAUUAGAGCUUUUAGGAACCUCACGUUCAUGCGUGAAAAUGGAAAACAAUAGUCACCCUGGGCAAAGGGACAUCUUGAGAGGUCAUCCAACACAUCCCUGUGGAUUAUGCAAGCCAAAAGUGAAUAAAGUAAGCACAGAUCUGGAAACUGGGCAAGGGAUGAACCAUGGAGGAUGACAAUGGACCAUUAAAAAUUCAACGAGUCCUAAUUGUGGCUGCUAUACAAGAUAUGGUGUAUUUGCUAGGGAAGAUUAAUAAAGCCUCAGAUACAUUUUAUUAUAUAUGACCACUAAUCUGGUGAAUGCAAUUUUUUUCUAAUCCUAUUAGAAAGAUCAGGAACAGUUCAUAUUCAUUUGACACACACAACAUCAUUUACAUAUAUUCUUUUCCUUGGGGCUAUGUUAAAUCUCCCAUUUCCUGUCCCAAGGACUUGGACCAUAUGGAUACUCUGAAGAAAAUGACAUUGGUCUACUAUAUCAAUGAUACCAUGUUAGUUAAACUGAAUAGAUCAAGAAGCGGUGACUACAUUGGAGACCAAGCUACAGAUUCCUUCAGAGUCUAUAGUAAACAAUCCAAUCAGUUAUGAGUUUCCUCAGCAAAAGACAUCCAACAGAACUGUGAAGGAGUUGCUCCUAGGAAGUGGAUCCAAGAAAUGCCAAGAAUGGUCUCUUCUUUUUUUCUUUUUUUUUUUUUUCUGAGACUGGGUCUCACUUUGUCACCAGGCUGGAGUGCAGUAGCCUGAUCUUAGCUCACUGAAGCCUCGACCUCCUGGGCUCAAGCAAUCCUCCCACGUUAGCCCCCAAGUAACUGGGACUACAGACACACACCACCACUCCUGGCUAAUUUUUUUUUUUUUUUUUGUAAAGACAAGGUUCUGCCAUGUUGCCCAGGCUGGUUUCGAACUCCUGAGCUCAAGCAAUCAGCCCACCUUGGCCUCCCAGUGUGUUAGGAUUACAGGCAUGAGCCACCACUCCCAGCAAGAAUAGUCUCUAUUGAAUACCGUAGUGUGCUAUCCAUAUGUCUCUACUUCGGUACUCGUCAGUCCUUCAAAGACAUCCAAGACCAUGCUUCCUCUGCAGCACCACUCCUUAUCCAACGACCAGUAGAUGCUGGAAUUAAAGAACCAGACCCCUCGCCAUGAUUUGCGACAACUCUAAAGGCCUUCCCAGCUCCCGAGCUCUCCAGAAGACAGGCUGAGGUUUUUAUUGUGACUGCAUCAUAGUUCAAUUUCUUUCACUUCCACAGGUGUUAAUUCCAAAAACAAUCCCCAAUAAACUUCCU